rnacentral:rRNA from 1 species
GACGAACGCUGGCGGCGUGCUUAACACAUGCAAGUCGAACGAUGAAGGAGAGCUUGCUCUCCGGAUUAGUGGCGAAUGGGUGAGUAACACGUGACUAACCUGCCCCUUUCUCUGGGAUAACGCUCCGAAAGGAGUGCUAAUACCGGAUACGAACUCUGAACACAUGUUCGGAGUUGGAAAGUUUUUCGGAAAGGGAUGGAGUCGCGGCCUAUCAGCUUGUUGGUGAGGUAACGGCUCACCAAGGCGACGACGGGUAGCCGGCCUGAGAGGGCGACCGGCCACACUGGGACUGAGACACGGCCCAGACUCCUACGGGAGGCAGCAGUGGGGAAUAUUGCACAAUGGGCGAAAGCCUGAUGCAGCGACGCCGCGUGAGGGAUGAAGGUCUUCGGAUUGUAAACCUCUCUCAGUAGGGACGAAGCGAAAGUGACGGUACCUAAAGAAGAAGCACCGGCUAACUACGUGCCAGCCGCCGCGGUAA